CCCUUAGAUGUUCUGGGCCGCACGCGCGCUACACUGAUGCAUUCAACGAGUCUAAAACCUGCUCUGAUAGGGGUGGGUAAUCUUUUGAAUGUGCAUCGUGAUUGGGAUAGAUGAUUGCAAUUUUUCAUCUUCAACGAGGAAUGCCUAGUAAACGCAAGUCAUCAGCUUGCAUUGAUUACGUCCCUGCCCUUUGUACACACCGCCCGUCGCUCCUACCGACUGAAUGAUCCGAUGAAUAUCAUGGAUUGAGGAUGCAAGUAGGUUAGCCUAUCUUCAUCUUCGAGAAGUGAAGUAAAUCUUAUCAUUUAGAGGAAGGAGAAGUCGUAACA
rnacentral:rRNA from 1 species